rnacentral:tRNA from 1 species
GCCGGGGUGGCGAAACUGGUAGCACGCACGAGACUUAAAAUCUCGGGGCCGCAAGGCCGUGCGGGUUCGAGUCCCGCCCCCGGCA